CUUCCUUCUAUGAUUUUCCUAGAGUUUGGUGUGCGGUUGAUACAUUCAUUGAGUUACCUUUGUUCUGAUUGGGCCUUUCAACAUUUCCACUACAUUUAAUGUUUUUUCUUGUUCUUACAGAGAUUCUACCAGAAGCACAUCAGCCCUACAGAUAAUGAGAAGCCUAACUGGAAGACAGCUUCUCUUACUAUACUACCAUCCAGCUUCACAAUGGUGCCAAUACAGCCAGGGCAUUCAUAGUCAUCCUAGGAAGACAUGACUUUGGAGUCAUCCAGGGAGCAAAGUCUUCUGCAGGGCUCAUGAUGUCUUUGGCUUGAUUUGCUAAGGGUCCACCCAGGAAUCCUGACUCACUGCAGAUGGGUGGAGAUCUUCUGAGCUAAAGGAAACCUUUCCUCAGAGACCAUCAUUCCUGCAGUUACUGAUCAAGAUUGCAGUUGUGCUACAUUAGCUAAGUGCAGAAGCAUGGAGGCUCUAACAUCCAGCAUUUUCACAAGGGUACUUGUGCUCAUGGACAGCUGUUUUUUAACUCCAGCUACUCUGAAUUCUUGUCCUUACUUUUAGAUCAAAUUCCCAAUCUGUAUAUUCUAAAAAGCUUAUUCUUAGAAAAGGUGCCGUGAAAUGAGGCUUUCACCAUGACUUUCAUUGUGAGACCUUCGAGCCUUUAGUGGAAUGAGGGGGAUGGGAGGAAGGAGGUGAUCUUGGACUUCUCAGAAUUGUGCCCUCCUCUCAGAUCACUUCCCAGUGGGUGUGCUUGCCAUAUCCUGAUGGAUUGACUCUCUUUCUAAUGGACUGCUUGUGUGCAGUUGUAUUCUUAAAUAUACUCUGCAUCAUCAAUCUUCAUAUAGCUUGGAAAACGGAGGCAAUUUUCAGUUUGGUAAACACCUGCUGUGUGCAUCACAUUCACAAAAUGGGUGGAUUGAUGGGAAAUGUAAGAUCCAUUAAAUCUUACUGUUUACCCUUCAAGGUAGAUAACCGUAGCCCUUCCAGGAUAACCAAGUAAAUCUCCCAAGUAAACAAAGAGAACCAGUGUCAGAUUUGGUACUGAAAUACAUCUCCUGUUUUUUCUGUCUUUUCUCACGACACUCACCAGCCUCAUGGACAUUUUCUUUUCCUAGAUUUAGCCAAAGAGCACUUCCUUUGUUGAUAAAUUUGACAUCAAAAUAGAAUCAGUGAGCUGUGAAUUCUGUUAUCCAUUUAUGAUAUAAACUUCAGAUGUCAGUUCUUGUUGCUAGAAAACAAACCCAAAGUACUGGAAAUAUAAUAAUGGAUAAUCUCAAAAGAAAGCCAGCAAUUAUUGCAUUGAAGAAAUGGCAAUGAAAUAAAAUAUGUCUUUUUUUUUUUUGGUAAGAAUAAAGAUAGCAAAAUCCCCAUUGUAUUCACAAGACUGUAAUUGAAAUAUUUUUAAAAGAACAUGUGGAAGGCAUAGUUCUCCCAAACCUCCCGAGAACAGUGAAUUGUUUGUACAAUGAUAAACAACCCACAAUGGACAUUUAUAAUAUUAAUUCCCUUCAUCUUUAAAGACUGGACCUAUUAUUGUUACAAUUCAUGUAUUUUGUCACAUAAACACCACAUACUUUUCAGAGGCAUAAGAUGAUUUAAAUCAAGGCAAGCAACAUCUGAAUAAAGGGGGAAAAUUAUAGGCACGUGUCUCAACCAUGAAUCACUUUGUUUAAAUUACUACUAGUUCAAUAUUGUCUUGUUUUUAAGCUGUUUUCCAACAGCCAAAUAACAAUACUUAGGAUGUAACUAAGUAUUCUUAAUUUGGAAAAAUUAAAUCUAGAGGAAUGAGAGUCAAAAUAUAAAAUUCUUAAAAACAUCAGAAUUUUCAGUGAUUUUCAACAUUAACAAACAAGCUUAGUACAGGGCUAACUGAAGACUGUAAUAUGAUCCCCAUCACCUGCAUAGGAAGUCGGGCUGGACAGCAGUUGCAAUCCUAGUCUUGGUAACAUGGGGAUAGAUGGAUAACUGGGGCUCAAUGGACAAGCUCCUAGUCCCAAGGAGAGACUCUGCUUCAGAAGUGAUGGUAGAUAGCUCCUAUGGAACCAUACCAGAGGCUGACCUCUGACCCCUAUACUACCCUUCCCAAUCUCUACAUGUGCAUGCACACCCUCAUUCA